UACGGAGGGUGCAAGCGUUGUCCGGAAUCACUGGGCGUAAAGGGCGCGUAGGCGGCCUGGUAAGUAGGGGGUGAAAUCCUGCGGCUUAACCGCAGGGCUGCCUUCUAGACUGUCAGGCUAGAGCACAGUAGAGGCAGGUGGAAUUCCCGGUGUAGCGGUGGAAUGCGUAGAGAUCGGGAAGAACAUCAGUGGCGAAGGCGGCCUGCUGGGCUGUUGCUGACGCUGAGGCGCGAAAGCGUGGGGAGCAAACAGG
rnacentral:rRNA from 1 species